rnacentral:rRNA from 1 species
GAUAGCGUUAGAGCUC